GUCUACUACAAAAAUAAUGCAUAAGGCCAUAGUGAUGACAGGUAAAUGACUUGUGGUCACGAGGCUCCACACAACAACCGAUAAAAAAUAAAUACGACGACAAUAAGUGCUGCUGAGCAUGAGUCCAUUUACAUACGCAUCAAAUUCAAAGUGAAACAGAGAGAAUAGAGACUAAUCAGAGAGAAGAUGGGCAUGGCAACGAAGUGAUCAGUUUCUACAUUCGCCAUCUACUCUGUUUGUCUCUGAAAUAGCUGAGAUAGGAGCUCAGGAUGGUAGCCAGUGUCUAAAAGAAUACAGCGGUGCGCCUUUAAGCUAUUGUACGGCUAGGAUUUAUCCGUCGCUGUGUUAUCAUAAUUCAUAAGUGCCGUUCGGUAAAGAGCGCGAAAGGUGGAAAAUGCAAUGGUCUUAAAUGUUUCUGCGAUUUCUGCAGCGGCACACCUUCUGUCUGCGAUCAGUUUCUAAGCAAUGUUUCAAUCUUGCAUGUCAUGCAUGUGUAAUGGUUUGUGUAAUAAUGAAGGUAAAUGGUCCAACAAAAAGUGUAAUGAUGAUAAGUAAAAUCCAAAUAAAGAAACGUUAGACUUUA